rnacentral:rRNA from 1 species
AGCAGCCGCGGUAAUUCCAGCUCCAAUAGCGUAUAUUAAAGUUGUUGCAGUUAAAAAGCUCGUAGUUGAACUUCGGGGUUUACUCAUUGGUCAGGCUUAAUUGUCUGUACUGGUGAGAUGAAUCUCUACCUUCUGAGGAACUUUCAUGCCAUUUAUUUGGUGUGAUUGGAAAUCAGGACUGUUACUUUGAAAAAAUUAGAGUGUUUAAAGCAGGCUAACGUCUGAAUACAUUAGCAUGGAAUAAUGAAAUAGGACGGAUUGAUUCUAUUUCGUUGGUUUCUAGGGUCACCGUAAUGAUUAAUAGGGAUAGUUGGGGGCAUUAGUAUUCAAUUGUCAGAGGUGAAAUUCUUGGAUUUAUUGAAGACUAACUACUGCGAAAGCAUUUGCCAAGGAUGUUUUCAUUAAUCAAGAACGAAAGUUAGGGGAUCGAAGACGAUCAGAUACCGUCGUAGUCUUAACCAUAAACUAUGCCGACUAGGGAUCGGACGAAGUUAAUUAAUAAUGACGCGUUCGGCACCUUACG